rnacentral:rRNA from 1 species
AAUGAACGCUGGCGGCAUGCCUAACACAUGCAAGUCGAACGAAGCCUUCGGGCUUAGUGGCGCACGGGUGCGUAACGCGUGGGAAUCUGCCCUUGGGUUCGGAAUAACUCUCCGAAAGGAGUGCUAAUACCGGAUGAUGUCGAAAGACCAAAGAUUUAUCGCCCAGGGAUGAGCCCGCGUAGGAUUAGCUAGUUGGUGAGGUAAAAGCUCACCAAGGCGACGAUCCUUAGCUGGUCUGAGAGGAUGAUCAGCCACAUUGGGACUGAGACACGGCCCAGACUCCUACGGGAGGCAGCAGUGGGGAAUAUUGGACAAUGGGCGAAAGCCUGAUCCAGCAAUGCCGCGUGAGUGAUGAAGGCCUUAGGGUUGUAAAGCUCUUUUACCCGGGAUGAUAAAGACAGUACCGGGAGAAUAAGCCCCGGCUAACUCCGUGCCAGCCGCCGCAGUAA